GUGUCAGCCGCCGCGGUAAUACGUAGGGGGCGAGCGUUGUCCGGAGUUACUGGGCGUAAAGGGCACGCAGGCGGUGCUGCGCGUUUCGCGUGACAGCGGGUGGCUUAACUACCCGAGGAUGCGAAAGACGGCAGGACUUGAGGGCCAGAGAGGGACACGGAAUUCCGGGUGGAGUGGUGAAAUGCGUAGAGAUCCGGAGGAACACCGAAGGCGAAGGCAGUGUCCUGGCUGGUGACUGACGCUGAGGUGCGAAAGCUAGGGGAGCGAACGGGAUUAGAAACCCCCGUAGUCC
rnacentral:rRNA from 1 species